rnacentral:lncRNA from 1 species
UCAUUCUCCCCAGGGCCAGCCUCUCUCAGCUGGAGGUGUGACCUCCUGGGUUUAGACUGGGGAUGGAGCUUUUGGAAGAUGUGGGGCUGAGCUGCGAACUCAGAGAUUCUUUGAUGGUAGCAACAGUGGACUGUGGCUAUGAGAAUGGGAGGAAUGGACCUUCCUUUCUUCCAUACUUCUUUGCAGGGUUAGAAUCAGGAUUUUUUUCCUAGUGGAAGUAGGUUGAGUUAGCUCACAAAUCUGGGAUAUGGGAGAAAGGGAAAGCUCUUGGAAGCUCGUUGGAAGAAAGUGCAUGUGCCCACCAUUAGUUUAGCAGAUGGAAAUGUAUUUGGGCAUGCCCUUUCCCACAUAAGGUCAGGGGCCAGAUGGGAUGAGAAUGUAGAGGGUGUCUGUGUGACCUGGAGUUGAGAAGCUUUUGGCUCCGAGGCCAGGACCACUUGUGCCUGCUCCCACCAUGGCUGCUCUGGAAGCCUCUUUCUGGGCUGGUACCAUAUCCCAUGACUCUCACCCUGGUUCCAAGGAAGGGUGGUCAUGGAUAUCUGUUCUGGAACCACCUUCAGUCUUGGCCAUCUGCCAUUUGCUUGGCUUUGCACUUUGGAACUGGAACAUAUGUAAGUUAUAGUUAAGAUCUGAUGAUGGAAACUUCUAGAAAUAAGGUCCAGCCUGCAGUGAUAUUGUGGAUAAGAUCUAUUUUACUUUGGUUGUUCUUUACUUUCCUAUUGGUGACCUCCCAUCUGCACCCCGACCGCCAGGAGCUGGGCCCUCCUGACUUCGCUGGCAAUUUCUAUCAUAUCGUCAGUCGUCCAGCAAAUGUCACCUGGAGGGACUUCAUCUCACACCGUGAAACCCCCACACAUCCGAUUUUGACCCUUAAAGCGCAUUUAUGAUUUUCUGCUGGGCAUUUCUUGAGAUCUGAACAUUUGGUUUCUCUUCCUUUCGGUAGGACAACAUUGCCGAGAAAGCUUGCUGUGGGGUUCCCUGCAAGUGCUCUGGGCAGAGGGGAGACCGCGGGCCCAUCGGCAGCAUCGGGCCAAAGGGUAUUCCUGGAGAAGACGGCUACCGAGGCUAUCCUGGUGAUGAGGGUGGACCCGGUGAGCGUGGUCCGCCUGGUGUGAACGGCACUCAAGGUUUCCAGGGCUGCCCGGGCCAGAGAGGAGUAAAGGGCUCUCGGGGAUUCCCAGGAGAGAAGGGCGAAGUAGGAGAAAUUGGACUGGAUGGUCUGGAUGGUGAAGAUGGAGACAAAGGAUUGCCUGGUUCUUCUGGAGAGAAAGGGAAUCCUGGAAGAAGGGGUGAUAAAGGACCUCGAGGAGAGAAAGGAGAAAGAGGAGAUGUUGGGAUUCGAGGGGACCCGGGUAACCCAGGACAAGACAGCCAGGAGAGAGGACCCAAAGGAGAAACCGGUGACCUCGGCCCCAUGGGUGUCCCAGGGAGAGAUGGAGUACCUGGAGGACCUGGAGAAACUGGGAAGAAUGUGAGUGCCAUUAGGGCUUUGGGGGGCUCUGUGACAAUUCUUAGUGCCAUAAGAUCUGCCCAACAUGACCUGGUGCAUGGUUAGUCCACAGCUCUGCAGUGAGUGAAUGUAAAAGGAUUUCUGAAACGGUUGUUACUCCAAUCUAUUUUCAUUCUUAUAAUUUCCCUGGUGCUUCAUCUCUUCUCUCUCCCCAAUUCUUGCUCUCCCCAAAAACAUACUGAACAGAUACUUUUAAAAAUAAUAUCUUUGCUACUUUCAAAUAUCGGGCCAGGUUUGAUCCAACUAAAUAUUUAAGAGACCCAAAUGGAAAUCCUAAUACUGGGGGAGGGAGGGAAUAAGGGGCAAGAGGGCUGAGGGAGUUGUGGAUUUGUUGUUUUUGUAAUUAUCUGUGGGUUUUUGGGGGGAUGCUGUAAGUGAAAUAAAAAAACUAGAUUUCUUCUUUUUCUGGCGUAUUGCAUCUUGCAAUUUCAAGACAUUUCAGAAAUGUCUGUAGCAGAAUAGCUCCUUGUAUGCCUAAUCCUCAGUCUUGUUGAAUAAAUGCUAAAGUCAAAGUGAUGUGAAUGAUCUUUCUGAAGCCAACCAAAAGCUUCCAAGGUCCUCGGGCACAGACAGCAUCUGCCUUGUAGCUGGGAGAAGACCAGUGGUGUAGAAGUUUGUAACCUCUCAGAGGAAAUUCAGGAUGCUGGUGGGUGCCUAGGGGAGGUCUCUGCUCAGAAAUGAACAGAGCACAAAGGCUGCAAGCUGGGGCUGGGUGCUGGGAACUGGGCCCUCAGCCACGCCCUGAGGGGCAGUGGCUCGUUCGGCCCGGCACUUGGGCCAGUAGAGUUCGCUGGGGUGAGGGGCUUUCAAAAGGAGCGACUCACCAAAAUCAAAUUGAUGGACUAUGGGCAUCAUUUUGCUUUGAAAAUUCAGAAGAAAAUAGAAAUUUUGAAAAUAUCAUUUUAAAAUGUUUGAGCACUAUUUAUUUAUUUAUUUUUAAUAAAUUGUAAAGACCUGGAUCAACUGCUUGGAAGUGAGCAUUAUUUUUGAAUAAUGCUAUAUAAUGAAAAAGAAGCUAUAUAAUG